UAGAUCCAGACAACCUCGGGAAACUGAGGCUAAUCCGGAAUAGGGCUCUCAUCCUGGAGUGGAGAGAGCCUGAAACGCUCCGGCGCUAUAGGAUGUGGCUGCGGCCGAUUAGGUAGACGGUGGGGUAACGGCCCACCGUGCCAGUAAUCGGUACGGGUUGUGAGAGCAAGAGCCCGGAGACGGUAUCUGAGACAAGAUACCGGGCCCUACGGGGCGCAGCAGGCGCGAAACCUUUACACUGCACGCCAGUGCGAUAAGGGGACUCCAAGUGCGAGGGCAUAUAGUCCUCGCUUUUUGCGACCGUAAGGUGGUCGCGGAAUAAGUGCUGGGCAAGACCGGUGCCAGCCGCCGCGGUAAUACCGGCAGCACGAGUGAUGACCGCUGUUAUUGGGCCUAAAGCGUCCGUAGCUGGCCGCACAAGUCUAUCGGGAAAUCUCUCCGCUUAACGGAGAGGCGUCCGGUGG
rnacentral:rRNA from 1 species